UACGGAGGGAGCUAGCGUUGUUCGGAAAUACUGGGCGUAAAGCGCACGUAGGCGGCGCAGCAAGUCAGGGGUGAAAUCCCGGGGCUCAACCCCGGAACUGCCCUUGAAACUGCAGUGCUAGAAUCUUGGAGAGGCGAGUGGAAUUCCGAGUGUAGAGGUGAAAUUCGUAGAUAUUCGGAAGAACACCAGUGGCGAAGGCGACUCGCUGGACAAGUUAUUGACGCUGAGGUGCGAAAGCGUGGGGAGCAAACAGG
rnacentral:rRNA from 1 species